rnacentral:rRNA from 1 species
GACGAACGCUGGCGGCGUGCUUAACACAUGCAAGUCGAACGGAAAGGCCCUGCUUUUGUGGGGUGCUCGAGUGGCGAACGGGUGAGUAACACGUGAGUAACCUGCCCUUGACUUUGGGAUAACUUCAGGAAACUGGGGCUAAUACCGGAUAGGAGCUCCUGCUGCAUGGUGGGGGUUGGAAAGUUUCGGCGGUUGGGGCUGGACUCGGGGCUUAUCAGCUUGUUGGUGGGGUAGUGGCUUACCAAGGCUUUGACGGGUAGCCGGCCUGGGAGGGUGACCGGCCACAUUGGGACUGAGAUACGGCCCAGACGCCUACGGGAGGCAGCAGUGGGGAAUAUUGCACAAUGGGCGGAAGCCUGAUGCAGCAACGCCGCGUGCGGGAUGACGGCCUUCGGGUUGUAAACCGCUUUCGCCUGUGACGAAGCGUGAGUGGCGGUAAUGGGUAAAGAAGCACCGGCUAACUACGUG